UACGUAGGGUGCGAGCGUUGUCCGGAAUUAUUGGGCGUAAAGGGCUCGUAGGCGGUUUGUCGCGUCGGGAGUGAAACUCAGGGCUUAACCCUGAGCCUGCUUCCGAUACGGGCAGACUAGAGGUAUGCAGGGGAGAACGGAAUUCCUGGUGUAGCGGUGAAAUGCGCAGAUAUCAGGAGGAACACCUGCGGCGAAGGCGGGUUGCUGGGCUGACACUGACGCUGAUGCGCGAAAGCUAGGGGAGCGAACGGG
rnacentral:rRNA from 1 species